CGGCUAUAAUACGUUGAAACACAGGUUCCCGUACGAUCACCGAAGUUAAGCAAUAUUGUUCCUGGUCAGCACCUAGAUGGGGGACCGAUUGGGAAUACUAGGUGUUGUAAG